GCAAGCUUAAGCCGUUAGGUGUAGGCGCAGCGAAAGCGAGUCUUAAUAGGGCGAAUGAGUUAGAUGGAUCAGACCCGAAACCGAGUGAUCUAGGCAUGACCAGGUUGAAGGUAAGGUAACACUUACUGGAGGACCGAACCCACACCUGUUGAAAAAGGUCGGGAUGAGUUGUGCCUAGGGGUGAAAGGCCAAUCAAACUCGGAGAUAGCUGGUUCUCCGCGAAAUCUAUUUAGGUAGAGCGUCAUCCGAAUACCCCGGGGGGUAGAGCACUGGAUGGGUAAUGGGGCCCCACAGGCUUACUGAUCCUAACCAAACUCCGAAUACCCGGGAGUACUAGAUGGCAGACACACGGCGGAUGCUAACGUCCGUCGUGGAGAGGGAAACAACCCUGACCUACAGCUAAGGCCCCCAAUUCAUGGCUAAGUGGGAAAGCAGGUGGGACGACCAAAACAACCAGGAGGUUGGCUUAGAAGCAGCCAUCCUUUAAAGAUAGCGUAACAGCUCACUGGUCUAAUUAAGUUGUCCUGCGGCGAAGAUGUAACGGGGCUCAAGCCAUGAGCCGAAGCUUAGGAUGCAUUUAAUGCAUGGUAGCGGAGCGUAGUGUGACAUAGCACCGUUCCUCUUUUGCGGUUUGGUAUGAGCAAUCAUACCCUGCGUAAUGGAGGAUAUGGUGUUUUCUGUGAAGCCGGGCUGUAAGGCAUCCGGUGGAGAGAUCACUAGUGAGAAUGAUGACAUGAGUAGCGACAAAGAGUGUGAGAGACACUCUCGCCGAAAAUCCAAGGGUUCCUGCUUAAAGCUAAUCUGAGCAGGGUGAGCCGACCCCUAAGUCGAGGCCGAAAGGCGUAGACGAUGGGAACCAGGUUAAUAUUCCUGGGCCAGGAGGAUGUGACGGAUUGUGAAGGUUGUUUCCCCUUAUUGGAUUGGGGAGGCCGCUGAUCAGUUCCUGGAAAUAGCCCUCCAUGAGAUCGUACCCUAAACCGACACAGGUGGAUAGGUAGAGAAUACCAAGGCGCUUGAGAGAACUACGUUGAAGGAACUCGGCAAAAUACCUCCGUAAGUUCGCGAGAAGGAGGCCCAGUUUCUACGCAAGUAUUGGCUGGGGGCACAAACCAGGGGGUGGCGACUGUUUACUAAAAACACAGGGCUCUGCGAAGUCGCAAGACGACGUAUAGGGUCUGACGCCUGCCCGGUGCCUGAAGGUUAAAAGGAGAUGUGAGAGCGUCGAAUUGAAGCCCAGGUAAACGGCGGCCGUAACUAUAACGGUCCUAAGGUAGCGAAAUUCCUUGUCGGGUAAGUUCCGACCUGCACGAAUGGCGUAACGACUUCCCCGCUGUCUCCAACGUAGACUCAGCGAAAUUGAAUUGCCUGUCAAGAUGCAGGCUUCCCGCGGUUAGACGGAAAGACCCCGUGCACCUUUACUACAGCUUCGCACUGGCAUCAGGCACAAUAUGUGCAGGAUAGGUGGUGGGCUUUGAAGCAGGAACGCCAGUUUCUGUGGAGCCUCCCUUGAGAUACCACCCUUGUUUUGCCUGAUGUCUAACCGCGGUCCGUUAUCCGGAUCCGGGACCCUGCGUGGCGGGUAGUUUGACUGGGGCGGUCGCCUCCUAAAGAGUAACGGAGGCGCGCGAAGGUUGGCUCAGAGCGGUCGGAAAUCGCUCGUUGAGUGCAAUGGCAGAAGCCAGCCUGACUGCGAGACUGACAAGUCGAGCAGAGUCGAAAGACGGCCAUAGUGAUCCGGUGGUCCCGAGUGGAAGGGCCAUCGCUCAACGGAUAAAAGGUACGCCGGGGAUAACAGGCUGAUACUGCCCAAGAGUCCAUAUCGACGGCAGUGUUUGGCACCUCGAUGUCGGCUCAUCUCAUCCUGGGGCUGGAGCAGGUCCCAAGGGUACGGCUGUUCGCCGUUUAAAGAGGUACGUGAGCUGGGUUUAGAACGUCGUGAGACAGUUCGGUCCCUAUCUGCCGUGGGUGUAGGAUACUUGAGAGGAGUUGCCCCUAGUACGAGAGGACCGGGGUGAACGAUCCACUGGUGGACCUGUUGUUGCGCCAGCAGCAGUGCAGGGUAGCUAUGAUCGGACAGGAUAACCGCUGAAGGCAUCUAAGCGGGAAGCCCCCCUCAAAACAAGGUAUCCCUGAGGGCCGUGGUAGACCACCACGUCGAUAGGCCGGAGAUGUAAGUGCAGCAAUGUGCUCAGUUGACCGGUACUAAUUGCCCGAUAGGCUUGAUUUG
rnacentral:rRNA from 1 species